AAAGUCGUAACAAGGUUUCCGUAGGUGAACCUGCGGAAGGAUCAUUAUUAAAUGAAUAUACAUCUAUUCAUCCCUCUGUGCACUGUUGGAGAGCAAAUAUUAUCACUGGCAAAAAUCUUUGUCGGUGAUGGGUUUUGCUUAACAUUUUUUUUAACGCUAUUCACAUUUAUUAUGUCUGAAAUUAUUUUAUUACAAAUAAAAAACAACUUUCAACAACGGAUCUCUUGGCUCUC
rnacentral:misc_RNA from 1 species